rnacentral:rRNA from 1 species
GCAAGUCGACGGUAACAGGAAAUAGCUUGCUAUUUUGCUGACGAGUGGCGCACGGGUGCGUAACGCGUAUACAAUCUACCUUUUGCUGAGGGAUAGCCCAGAGAAAUUUGGAUUAAUACCUCAUGGUAUUAUUGAUAGGCAUCUAUUAAUAAUUAAAGGUUACGGCAAAAGAUGAGUAUGCGUCCCAUUAGCUAGUUGGUGAAGUAACGGUUCACCAAGGCAACGAUGGGUAGGGGUCCUGAGAGGGAGAUCCCCCACACUGGUACUGAGACACGGACCAGACUCCUACGGGAGGCAGCAGUGAGGAAUAUUGGACAAUGGGCGAGAGCCUGAUCCAGCCAUGCCGCGUGCAGGAAGACUGCCCUAUGGGUUGUAAACUGCUUUUAUACAGGAAGAAUAAGCCUUACGUGUAAGGUGAUGACGGUACUGUAAGAAUAAGGACCGGCUAACUCCGUGCCAGCAGCCGCGGUAAUACGGAGGGUCCGAGCGUUAUCCGGAAUUAUUGGGUUUAAAGGGUCCGUAGGCGGAUGAUUAAGUCAGGGGUGAAAGUUUGCAGCUCAACUGU